UCUUACGAAAUACAAAGUGGUAUCAAAAAGUUUCCGAACUAGUUCUGUAGCAUGCUAACAGAUGGCAGUACAUGGUUGCAUGCACAAUGAGAGCUAGCAGUGACCUUCAUGAGGCAAUGUGCCAAGUGACAUGGCUGUGUUUACUUUGCAAGUUGUGAAGUUUGUGUUUUUGUGAUCAUAUGUAUGCUGUAGUCUACGAUUUUUGUCAUGGACAGGAAGUUGGAACAAAGAGCCAAUGUAAAAUGUUGCAUUAAACUUGGGAAGUCUGCUACAAAGACAUUGAGCAUACUUUGAUAAGCUUACAGCAACAAGGCAAUGAGUUAUAUGCAAUGUUUUGAGUGGCACAGGUGCACAACAGAACCACAAUCAAGAGCAUGAUCAUUUUUUAAAAAAAAUCUGUGGUACUGUGCAUCGAGAAUUCCUCCUGUAGGGUCAAGCAUUCUACUGCGAUGUUUUGAAGCAUUUGAGGGAGGACAUUUGGCGAAAGUGACUGGAUCUGUGGAGCAUGAAGAAUUGGAUUCUUCACAACAAUGCACCCUGUCACUGAGCUCUCCUCAUUUGUGAGUUUCUCAUCAAAAAGAAUAUGGUAUUGCUUCUACACUUGCCAUAUUCACCAGAUUUAGCACCUGCAGACUUUCAUCUCUUUCUCAAGAUGAAAAUGCAGCUUAAAGUUCGCCAUUUUAACACUUUUGUCAAGAUAAAGAGCGAAUUGCAGAAGGUCCUCAUCUUGCUUACGGGAAAUGUCUUCCAGGCUAGAUUCCAAAGGUGGCAGGAACACUGGGACUGUUGUAUUGCUUGCUGUGCAAGGUGACUAUUUUGAAGGAGGUGAUGUUAAAACUUGUAUAAAUAAGGUUAUUUUUAAUUAAACAUGACUAGUCCAGGAACGUUUUGAUACCACCUCUUAUAUGAAUUUUUAAAUGACUAAUAUGACUACACCACAAUUAUAAUAUCAAUAAUGUAUGGUGCAGAAAAUAACAAAUAUCUGUAAACAUGUUGAUAAUCUGAUUGACAAGAAAUGAAGUUUGCUCUAUUUUGCUAACUCUGAAGAUAUAUCCAGAUGACUGCAUAUAUGUAUGUAUACUAGACAUUCUAGACUGCUAAUGAUCACAUGAUUGCUCUAAUUGUAUUGCACAUCUAAUUCUGCCACUUCUCAUGUAUAAUCUAACUGAACAAAAAUCAGGCUCCAUUUCUGCUUCACUGAUGAUCGUUUAGU